rnacentral:misc_RNA from 1 species
UGUCUAUUUUAUUGUAGACAURAGAUAUUUUUCUUUUUUGAACGAGCCAAACAAAAAUUAAUUUUUUUGACUUUGGUGUACUUUUUAAAAAGGUGUCUGCCGUGGUAACCUUGUAAAGGAGCAGUAUUGCCAUUAUGAGUCGUAUCUUGUAUAAAAUAACAAGUACGCCUUUGUGCUUAUUAAUGCUGUUCCGUGGUUUUUCAAUGAAUUUUCGCCCGGCGCCUUAAAUGGCAUCUUUAUGCUAGCGUUACGCGCGUUUGGUAUAAAUAUUGUAGAAAAAUUAAGUUUUUUCUUUAUUUAAUAUCCAGGCGUUAGCGUAUCAGCCGGCCGGUGCAUUUGUUGUUUGAAAUUUUAUGUUUCUUACUGACAUUAAUGCACCAAACCGCUUUGAAGCAAAACAUUUUUAAAAUU